CAGAAUAUAUCUUGAGGUACCUGCUCUAUGGAAUUAUUCACACUGUUCACCAACAAGAAGAAUAAAGUCAAUCAAUUCGAGGAGUCUCAGAACAGGAGCACAUAGGCACCAAACUUUGUGGGACAACAAAUAUAAUGAAGAGUAUGUUUGCUUCUUUCAAACAAAACAAAUUAAGGAAUGAACGAAUGUUGCUCUGGACAAAGCUGCAGCUUCCACGUCCUGCAUAACUGCACUCAGUACUGACCCUGAAGAUGGGAAAAGCAAUAUAACUGGUGCUAGAAAUGUUAUGAGAAUGACUUGGAUGACCUGAAAAAUGAAUGAGCUCCUUGAACAAGG